GAUGAACGCUGGCGGCGUGCCUAAUACAUGCAAGUCGAGCGAACAGACGAGGAGCUUGCUCCUCUGGCGUUAGCGGCGGACGGGUGAGUAACACGUGGAUAACCUACCUAUAAGACUGGGAUAACUUCGGGAAACCGGAGCUAAUACCGGAUAAUAUAUUGAACCGCAUGGUUCAAUAGUGAAAGACGGUUUUGCUGUCACUUAUAGAUGGAUCCGCGCCGCAUUAGCUAGUUGGUAAGGUAACGGCUUACCAAGGCAACGAUGCGUAGCCGACCUGAGAGGGUGAUCGGCCACACUGGAACUGAGACACGGUCCAGACUCCUACGGGAGGCAGCAGUAGGGAAUCUUCCGCAAUGGGCGAAAGCCUGACGGAGCAACGCCGCGUGAGUGAUGAAGGUCUUCGGAUCGUAAAACUCUGUCAUUAGGGAAGAACAAAUGUGUAAGUAACUAUGCACGUCUUGACGGUACCUAAUCAGAAAGCCACGGCUAACUACGUG
rnacentral:rRNA from 1 species